rnacentral:rRNA from 1 species
AUGCCGUCCCCUGCCGCCGUCGACCCCCUGAGCGGCUACUGCGCCGUCACGAGGACCUUCCACAGCCUCCGCGCGCCCAUCCCGCUGCCGCCCCCAUCCCCGCCGCUCUCCUUCCCGGCCUUCGCCUUCUCCCUCCUCCCCUCCCCGCUCCCGGCCCACGCCGCCUUCCUCGAUGCCGCCACCGGCGAGGCCGUCCCCUUCCCGGCCUUCCUCGGCCAGGUCCGCGCCCUCGCCACGGCUCUCCGCGCCCACCUCCACAUCUCCCGCGGCGACGUGGCCUUCGUCCUCGCGCCCCCCAGCCUCCACAUCCCCGUGCUCUACUUCGCGCUCAUGGCCGUCGGCGCCGUCGUCUCCCCCGCCAACCCGGCCCUAACCGCAGGGGAACUGGCCCACCUCGCCGCGCUCUCGAAACCCUCCGUCGCCUUCGCCGUCUCGAGCGCGGCCGGCAAGCUCCCACCCGGGCUCAGCGCCGUCCUCCUCGACUCGCCGAGAUUCUCCUCGUUCUUGCACGGGCCCGGCGAUGCCUUGGUCAUGGACGCCGCUGUGAUGCACCAAUCGGAUCCGGCGGCGAUACUCUACUCCUCCGGCACCACCGGGAGCGCCAAAGCGGUGGUGCUGACGCACCGCAACCUCAUGGCGACACGCGUCUUGCCUGGUCCGGCGCCGCCAGGCGAGGUUCUGAUGCUGACCGUGCCGCUCUUCCACGUCUACGGAUUCGUGUUCUGCCUCAGGCCUGUAAUGGCGGCGCAAACACUUGUGUUGCACACGGCGGGGAGAUUUGACACCAGGGGGGUGCUGGCAGCGGUGGGGAGGUUCCGGGUGACGCGGCUAGCCCUUGCGCCGCCGGCGCUGCUGGCGAUUGUGCGAGCAGCUGAGGACGACGAGAGUGUGGCUGCCAGCGCAGCAACGCUGCAGGUGGUGCUCUGCGGCGGCGCAUCCCUCUCACCGGAGCUUGUACGGCGGUUCUCGCAUAAAUUUCCCCACGUCUUUGUUUCACAGGGAUAUGGACUGACCGAGACUACAGCUGGUUUUUGCCGUUCCACUGGAGUAGAAGAAAGUCGACGAAUCGGAUCAGUUGGGCGUCUUUCACCGGGCGCUGAGGCGAAGAUUAUUGAUCCUGCAACAGGGCAUGCUCUGCCUCCGGGUCUGCCAGGCGAGCUUUGGGUCCGAGGACCUUUUGUAAUGCAAGGCUACCUUGGUGACAAGGAAUCCACCUCUGGGAUUUUGGAUUCUGAAGGGUGGUUGAGAACCGGGGAUGUUUGUGUCAUCGACAAAGAUGGAUUCCUCUCUGUGGUUGACCGGCUGAAAGAGAUAAUUAAGUACAAGGGCUACCAGGUUGCUCCUACAGAACUGGAGGACCUGCUUCAAACGCACCCAGGUAUCGACGAAGCCGCAGUUGUUGGAUACGCCGACGAUCAGGCUGGCGAAUUGCCGGUGGCAUUUGUCGUAGGACGCUCCGGAAGCAACUUGCAUGAGGCACAGAUCAAAGACUUUGUCGCUAAACAGGUCGUGCACUAUAAGCGAGUACAUCGUGUUUUCCUUGUGGAUUCCAUACCGAAAAAUGCUGCGGGGAAGAUCUUGCGGAAGGACUUGGCUAAGUUAGCAUUGCAUCGGAUUAACGCCAAAUUAUAA